rnacentral:lncRNA from 1 species
UAAUAUGAAGAUUGAAGGCGGAAGAAAAACAUGUGAGGCUGAAAAGAUUAGAUACUCAACUCAUAAAUUUUUUUUCAUAUUAUAAUAAUAUAUUUCAUACAAUUAUUUUGUACUUUUGAACUUUUAGACAUAUUGUUAUAUCAAAUUUAGACAAUGUUCUAUACAAAUUAAACUAUUAAUCGUAUGAUGUUGAGAAUUUCAAGCGGCUCGUUUAGGACUCGAGCUCGCUCGACUCGAAAUUAGGCUCGCUCGAGCUCGGCUUGAAUUAAUUUCAAUCAAAGCAUUUUUUUUUUUUUUUUUUUUUUUUUUUUUUUUUUUUUUUUUUUUUUUUUUUUUUUUUUUUUUUUAUUUUUUUUUUUUUUUUUGAUUUUUUGU